rnacentral:misc_RNA from 1 species
GAUGAAGAACGUAGCGAAAUGCGAUAAGUAGUGUGAAUUGCAGAAUUCAGUGAAUCAUCGAAUCUUUGAACGCACAUUGCGCCCCUUGGUAUUCCAUGGGGCAUGCCUGUUCGAGCGUCAUUUGUACCUUCAAGCUUUGCUUGGUGUUGGGUGUUUGUCCUGAGGGACUCGCCUUAAAGUAAUUGGCAGCCAGUGUUUGGUUUUGAAGCGCAGCACAAGUCGCGAUUCAAAGCUAUACGCCCGCUUCCACAAGCCUUUUUCACUUUUGACCUCGGAUCAGGUAGGGAUACCCGCUGAACUUAAGCAUAUCAAUAGCGGAGGA